CCAAUAGCGUAUAUUAAAGUUGUUGCAGUUAAAAAGCUCGUAGUUGAAUUUUAGGCCUGGCCAGGCGGUCCGUCUUUGGCGAGUACUGUCUUGUUGUCGGGUCUUCCUUCUGGUGAACCAGUAUGUCCUUUAUUGGGUGUGUUGGGGAGCCAGGACCAUUACCUUGAAAAAAUUAGAGUGUUUAAAGCGGGCUAUUGCUUGAAUAGAUUAGCAUGGAAUAAUAGAAUAGGACGUUGUGGUUCUAUUUUGUUGGUUUCUAGGACCACCGUAAUGAUUAAUAGGGAUAGUUGGGGGCAUUAGUAUUCAAUUGUCAGAGGUGAAAUUCUUGGAUUUAUUGAAGACUAACUAUUGCGAAAGCAUUUGCCAAGGAUGUUUUCAUUAAUCAAGAACGAAAGUUAGGGGAUCGAAGACGAUCAGAUACCGUCGUAGUCUUAACCAUAAACUAUGCCGACUAGGAAUCGGGCGACGUUAUUUUCAUGACUCGCUCGGCGCCUUAUG
rnacentral:rRNA from 1 species